UGCGCCUGCGCGGGGCGCGGCUGCGGAGAAUCAGGUUUUAUGGAAAGUUGAUGUCUGUGGCGGGAUCGCGGUCUGUUACGCAGAGAGGCCGGGACGCGGGAAGUCUGGGCUGCCGUGGGCCGGGAGGCAGGGGACGAGCCGGGUCACGAAGGGCCCCUGACGCUGGCCCCCCACGAGUACGCGGGCCUCUCACUGUUGUGGCCUCUCCCGUUGCGGAGCACAGUCUCCGGACGCGCAGGCUCAGCGGCCAUGGCUCACGGGCCCAGCUGCUCCGUGGCAUGUGGGAUCUUCUCGGACCAGGGCACGAACCCGUGUCCCCUGCGUCAGCAGGCGGACUCUCAACCACUGCGCCACCAGGGAAGCCCCAGAAGGCUGGCACCUGAGCACUGAACUUGGCUGGAGAAAACCUCAGGCUGCUGAUGAACCCGCUUCAAGGACACUCGUCUUCGCUGGACGAUCCCACACCAGAGAAUCCCACGUCUCCUCUGUGCUGGAACCUC